GAAAUGGGCGGAUAUCAAUUACUACUGACCUAAUCUGAAACAAAUACACCAUUUUAUCUGAUUAAGCAAUAUAUAUAUAUAUAUAUAUCUUAUGAAGGAAGUAAGAUAAAACCUAUGUGGAAUAUGUUAUCAUGUCACCCACAUUGAUGACCGUUGUACACCAGUGCUGGAGUCCAUUUGGUAACUUCUGCUUGAGGUUUUUGCCACACUAUGAAAAAUCGGGACAUGUAUGUUGUACAUACAUAGGUGUGUUCUCUGCUAUUGUUGACAGUCUAGUUUUCAUACACCAGACUAUCAAGGACCAUGAUCGCAUUUGUGCGGCUGUCUCCGAACCCUUGCUGGUUGUUACAAGAAACAACUUUGUUUUCAGAUUGAUUUGUUCAUGCACUUCCAUAACAGAUGAGCACAUUGACAGUUACACAUAACAACCUGGUUACAGUUGGAUUUUUUACUUCCAUAACAGAUGAGCGCAUAGAUGGUUACACAAAACAACCUGGUUACAGUUUGAUUUUUCACUUCCAUAACAGAUGAGCACAUAGACCGUGCAAACAUGGUCUACAUGGACUGACAUGUUGGAAACAAGGUUGAUACAAGGACUAUCACAUAAGAUCUCUGAAUAACAAGGACACUGCUGGAGAUGGACAAGGUGCUGACAAGGACCUUCACAGUGCAAGCACAGUGAAAAUACGAAGUAUCACAGAGGAACAUGAAAUAACAUGGACAAUGGCUGAUGUUCAUGUAAAUAUUGGGAAGUUGAUAAUUGAUUCCAUUCUCCGGUCUAAAUACAACGCACAAUGGGGGAUUAGAUGCUAAUGUGAUGCCAGCUUCUACUGCAAGUUGAAAGCAGUAUCAUGGUUACUAAAGCUAAACUACAACAGAGAAAUAGAGAAGAUAUGAUAAAGAUUGUUUUUGCACCUGUGAAUAGAAUGAAAAGGAAAAUCUUCUGGUUCAGAAAAUGGCUCGCCAAAAGACCAGACAUUUGUCAAUACUACAGCUGAUGAAUGAAUGAACUUAUAAGAAGACAGCAAGGGCUUAUUUAAUUAUGCCCCCCUUCGAAGAAAAGGGGGUAUAUUGCUUUGCUGGAUAUCGGUCGGUCUGUGUGUUGCUAGACCAGUUCAUUUCCAAUCAAUAACUCGUCAACAAAUUGACUGAUUGGCUUGAUACUUCACAUGUGCAUUGGCCUUGGACAGUAGAUGACCCCUAUUGAAAUUGGGGUCACUAGGUCAAAGGUCAUUGUCAAAAUAAGCAUUAAAAUCAUUUCCGAUCAAUAACUCAUCAACUAAUUGACUGAUUGGUUUGAUACUUCACAUGUGCGUUUGCCUUGGAAAGUAGAUGACCCCUUUUAAAAUUGGGGUCACUAGGUCAAAGGUCAAGGUCAUCGUCAAAAUAAGCGUUAAAAUCGUUUCUGAACAAUAACUCAUCAACGAAUGGACUGAUUGGUUUCAUACUUCACAUGUGCAUUGACCUUGAACAGUUGAUGACCCCUAUUGUAAGAUGGGUCACUAGGUCAAAGGUCAAUGUCACAAUAAGUAUGAAAAUUGUUUCGAUCAAUUACUGGUCAACAAAUUGAACGAUUGGCUUGAUAUUUCACAUGUGUAUUGGCCUUGGACAGUAGAUGACCCCUUUUGAAAUUGGGGUCACUUGUUCAAAGCCUUGUUGGGGGCAUAUGUCUCCGACCGCAGAACUCUUGUUUCCUGCGCAUCGGGUAUCAGAUAUACAAAGAGAUCCAUUGAGAACAUUGUCAAGGUGAAGACGUGAAAAUACAGCAAGCCUCUGACAGAUUGCAUCAAGUUGACAACAACACCGUGGUACCUAGACUCAGGGGACAGUUACCACCCUCUGAUGUGUGUCGCCAUCACCAAGAUCAUCCAUCAGGUCUGUGAUAAGAUACAUGUAGAAUUAGCUGACAAACAUAUUCUACAUCCUAAAACGCCAAAUGAUUGGAAGAAUAUUUUAUCAUGCAGUUCGAACACAGAUGGCAGCAGCACAUUUUUAUAGAAUAGAGCAGAAAAUUCAAAAGUGAUUGCAGGGAAGAUAAUUCAGUCGUGAUUAAUCAAAUAUUUAUGUAGUCACAGCUGCGCAAAUAAUUCUGUAAUUCAUGCAGGUCAUAUAAUUCUAUUUAUUGAACAUUCUGUAGUGACUGCAAAGCAGAUAAUUCUGUAGGAAAAGCAUGACAGAUGAUUCUGUAGUAACUGUAAGAAAGAUAAUUCUGUAAGAGCAUCAGGGCAGAUAAUCCUUUAAUGAAUGCUGGGCAGAUAAUUCUUUAAUGAAAGCAGGGAAGAUAAUCCUGUAUGGAAUCCACUUAUUUGGCUUAUAAGUGGGCCUGUCUGGCAGUCUGCAUAAGUUUGUUAAGUGACCUUCCACCAUAUUUUUAACCCAAUUACAUUGAAACUUCAAAUAUGUGUAGAUGUGUGCUUUUUAUCCCCAGUAAUCCAGGAAUUUCCGAUGUUUUCCCUUUAGCUCAGCUGACAGAGCAUUGCUAGAGUUUUAGCUUGUAACAAAGCUCUAGUUUUGUAGUAAUGAGUUUGUUGAACUACAUAUGAAGAUAUUUAGGAUGUUGAAUUUAAACAAUAAUUAUUUUCUAGCAUUCUCUGGGAAGGCCUUUAUGCACUUAAUGACUUAGCUAAUUAAUAAAUUAACAAUUAAUCAAUGACCUGUUUUUAUUUUAACAAAUAUCAUAUAUUUAAUGUGAACCCUUUAUAUCAUAAGGCAUAAUACUCACGUUCCUAUAUUUGGUUUGUUAAUGACAUUUUGAUACAUUCUUGUUAACCUGUUUACAUAUUUCACAACUGGCAAUUUUUUAAACCAAAAUAAUUUUUAUCUACUACUUCACAGUUGUCAAGCUUUCAUUAUCAAAGAGGCCAUGAUUUGUUACAGCUGGUAUAUUAGGUCGAAACUACCGAUUCAUUUUGCCCUGUCAAGUACUACAGUAUUGUAUAUGCUGAGAUUGUCAUAUUAUACUGGUCUUAUUUUAUAGUUUAAAUGACUGACUGUCUUAAUAUUCUCUUAGUUCUUCCUUUACUAAAUAUAUUACUCAACAUAUAUAUUACUUCAUUUCUUUAUACAAAUUUUCCAUUAAAAGUUUGAGUCUGUGUAAGUAUUUAUAAAUUUAUAUUUCCACUCCAUUCUAUGUGUGUAUUUAGAAGAUUACGGGGACCUUCUGUGUCUGAGGCUGCAUUAUGUGUGGACUGGGAGGGUAGCCUUCAACUCCUACCAAAUUAAUGAUUUUACUCAGUAAAGUUGGGACAAAUUUGGAAUUAUAACUGCAAUUUCCAACUUUUUAAAUGUUACUUAAAGAGUUUCAAUUUUGGAGUGCUCUUGUGUUUUGGGGGGAUGCUGUAGUACGGUUAUGAACAACCAAUCUCACAUGCUUCCAAACGGUGUUGCUAAGGUGAGUCAAAUUGAAUGUUUACAAACAAAUAAACGUGAAUCAUGUUGUGAUUCUUUAAUUGCAAAGAAUCGACCCUUUCCGUGGUUGCAUUGUCAGCCAUUGAUUCGCCGCGAAAGGAUUCACACCAAUAUGCAGUUGGUGACGAUAUUAUGGCUCCUCUUCAGGGGAAAAUGCGCAUCGACGAUCUAACAGAUAGGCGGUGAGUUUUGUUUAAGGUUUUGACUUUUUUUCCAAAAAUAUUAUGGACAUAUUCAAACUGAUUGUUCUUUUUAUUUAAUCUUGAACCUGAGAUUGAUUUAUUAAGACACAUUUUAAAAAAAUUAUUGCAUUCUGAGUGACGAAUUUUACCUCCUGACUCGUUUUACUUUUAGUGUGAUUUCGUAAAAUUCAAUCAUAAAUAAUUUAUAAUCGACAUACCGUCGCUAAAAAUCCUGUCCAUUUCAAAUAUUAUAUACAACUAUAUUUUAUUUUAGAUAUGGAACAUAUUAAAAUGUGUAAUCAUACAUGUAUGCUACAAAUUAAACCCAUGAAGAGUUUGAACCAUUCAACGCUGUAGCCUGCAACGUUUGCACGGCGAUCUUCCAACUGAUAUUAAAAGGCUGAUUAUAGCAUAGACCAUUAUACUAUGGAAACAUUGCCUCCAGCUCAGGUUCAAGUUCUGCCUUUUACACAGGAUUUGCCUCCAGCCCAGGUUCAGGUUCUGCCUCCAACACAGAUCCUGCCUCCAGCCCAGGUUCACGUUCUGCCUCCAACACACGUCCUGCCUCCAGCCCAGGUUCACAUUCUGCCUCCAACACAGAUCCUGCCUCCAGCCCAGGUUCACGUCCUGCCUCCAGCCCAGGUUCACAUUCUGCCUCCAACAUAGGUCCUGCCUCCAGCCCAGGUUCACGUCCUGCCUCAAGCCCACGUUCACGUUCUGCCUCCAACACAGAUCCUGCCUCCAGCCGAGGUUCAGUUUCAGCCUUAAGCCCAAGUUCACGUUCUGCCUCUUACACAGGUCCUGCCUCGAGCCCAGGUUCACGUUAUGCCUCUUACACAGGAUUUGACUCCAGCCAAGAUUCAGGUUUUGCCUCAACUGGUCCUGCCUCCAGCCCAGAUUCACGUUCUUCCUCCAACACAGGUCCUGCCUCCAGCACAGGUUCAGGUUAUGCCUCUAACACAGCUCCUGCCACCAGCCCAGGUUCAGUUUCAGCCUCAUGCCCAAGUCCUGCCAGUCCACACAUCAAUUCCAUUCCAGAGGGAUUAUACAGGAAUGCUACGACUUCAACAUACUGACUCAUCCUCAGUAGGGCUAACCGUACAUUCUAUCAAGACCCCUAACCUUUACCGGAAGAAGAAGAAUGAGAAGACUGAUGGGUCAAUCAGAGAGGCUGCCAUCCACACAUGACAUUCAUGCUAUGAAACUGUGCGAAGAUUGGAGGCAGUCGUAUCUGAUCUUCUUCUUAAGGAAGAAAACGGUGAAAGAACGACAAGAAAGAAUGAGCCACCACCGCUGUGUAACUCUGUACCAUAGGGCACAGGCACUGUCAUCCCCCCCUAUGUCACCAGUUGCAGCAAACCUGUCAACUAUUGACGCUAUCAAAACCUCAAUACAGAAUGAGAACAGGGAGGCAAAAGCUCUUAUGAGGGCCAUGAGGAAAGUCUUUACGCCAAACCAACUUAAGGACUGCUCAAUGAAGGGAGCUGGUACCUGACACCAUGGGACCUUGUCCUGGCCUCCCAAAGGAAGAAAAGAUAGUUGCAAAGAAAUUCGACCGACCUGUUGGCAUGGGUUGAAAGGAACAUGAGGGCCGCACUUAGUCGCCUCAAAGACCAGAUGAACGGAUUAUAUCGAUUUCUUUGAUUUAUGUAUUUUUGUGUAAAAUGAUUGUU